CGUGGGUAACCUGCCCAAGAGAUCGGGAUAACACCUGGAAACAGAUGCUAAUACCGGAUAACAACAGAUGAUGCCUAUCAACUGUUUAAAAGAUGGUUCUGCUAUCACUCUUGGAUGGACCUGCGGUGCAUUAGCUAGUUGGUAGGGUAACGGCCUACCAAGGCGAUGAUGCAUAGCCGAGUUGAGAGACUGAUCGGCCACAUUGGGACUGAGACACGGCCCAAACUCCUACGGGAGGCAGCAGC
rnacentral:rRNA from 1 species